CAGCUGAUUUGUCCCUUUUCCUUGUGAGAUCAGAGAGGCCUCUGCUGUCUUUUCCUCCUUCCAGAGCUAGCGCUGAACACAGCCCAGUUUGCAAAGAGUCUAGCCAUGCUUGGGAGCUCUGAGGACAACACGGCAUUGUCACGGGCACUCUCCCAGCUGGCUGAGGUGGAAGAAAAAAUUGAGCAGCUCCACCAGGAACAGGCCAACAAUGACUUCUUCCUCCUUGCUGAGCUCCUGAGUGACUACAUUCGCCUCCUGGCCAUAGUCCGCGCUGCCUUCGACCAGCGCAUGAAGACAUGGCAGCGCUGGCAGGAUGCCCAAGCCACACUGCAGAAGAAGCGGGAGGCCGAGGCUCGGCUGCUGUGGGCCAACAAGCCUGAUAAGCUGCAGCAGGCCAAGGACGAGAUC
rnacentral:sRNA from 1 species